ACUAGCAGCCGGGUGAUGAGCUGCAGCUUUGAGACACUGUUCAACUUACUGCACCUUUCAGUUAUAAACACCUGAGAAGAAGAAGAAGAGCCAGAACUGGAUUGUAGCUCAGUGGUCCAAAGUUCUCUGUUCAGAUGAAAGUAAGCCAACACAACUGUCUACCAGGAUAUUAGAGCCUCCAAGCUUUCUUCUGCUAACAAAUUUCAUGGAGAUUCUGCUCCAACACAUCUCAAUCAAAUGAAUGAAACAGGAAGUGGUUUCUGGAUGGUCAACAACAAAACACAUGGCAGUAAAACCAGCUGACCAAUCAGGAUGCAGUCGAAAACCACAUGGAAGUACAAACCCAUGCAAAAUGUCAAUUUUGCCUUGUUGAUGACCUUUAAAAUAAAAUUAAUGUCGUGAAAUUUGGUUAAAAACAUUACAAUCUCACCUUCAAGAAUCAGACUCCAUGUUGUGAGGUUUGAAACCUGCAGCUUUAGAGUCCCAACUCUCCAUGAUAGAAAAACAAAAAAAAAAGUGUGCAGCCUAAACUCGACCUUUAACAUGGCGCUGCUAACAAAGCUCCUGCUGCAGAGUGAGGAAUGUGUUCAUUUCCUCCACGGUGUGAAGGUUUACUCUCUGAAUGUUUUUCCAACGCUGCCUUUAUGAGUCCUGCAGGGAAGGAAUGUGUGCCGUUCCUCCUGAGCUCACAUCUCAGAAAAUAUCUAACGUCUAUAAUUUCAUUAAAUUUCAGUGUA